UGGUGGAGUGAUUUGUCUUCUUAAUUGCGAUAACGGACGAGACUCGUGCGUUCUACUGGUGUCUCGUAUCUUACGAUACUUGUAUACCUCUACAACGGACAACUCUUGAUAAGAGAGAGGAAGAGACGAGCAAUAACA
rnacentral:rRNA from 1 species